UUAAAUGAGAGUUUGAUCCUGGCUCAGGACGAACGCUGGCGGCGUGCCUAACACAUGCAAGUCGAGCGAAGUAAUCUUAAGGAAGUUUUCGGAUGGAAUUAAGAUUAUCUUAGCGGCGGACGGGUGAGUAACGCGUGAGAAACCUGCCUUUCACAAAGGGAUAGCCUCGGGAAACUGGGAUUAAUACCUUAUGACACUAAUAUACCGCAUGGUGAAUUAGUUAAAGCGUAAAGCGGUGAAAGAUGGUCUCGCGUCCCAUUAGUUAGUUGGUGAGGUAAUGGCUCACCAAGACCGCGAUGGGUAGCCGGCCUGAGAGGGUGAACGGCCACACUGGAACUGAGACACGGUCCAGACUCCUACGGGAGGCAGCAGUGGGGAAUAUUGCACAAUGGAGGAAACUCUGAUGCAGCGACGCCGCGUGAACGAUGAAGGUCUUCGGAUCGUAAAGUUCUGUCCUAGGGGACGAUAAUGACGGUACCCUAGGAGGAAGCCCCGGCUAACUACGUGCCAGCAGCCGCGGUAAUACGUAGGGGCGAGCGUUGUCCGGAAUUAUUGGGCGUAAAGGGUUCGUAGGCGGUUAUUUAAGUCAGGUGUGAAAGGCGCAGGCUCAACCUGUGUAAGCACUUGAAACUGGAUAACUUGAGUUAAGGAGAGGAAAGUGGAAUUCCUAGUGUAGCGGUGAAAUGCGUAGAUAUUAGGAGGAAUACCAGUGGCGAAGGCGACUUUCUGGACUUAUACUGACGCUGAGGAACGAAAGCGUGGGGAGCAAACAGGAUUAGAUACCCUGGUAGUCCACGCCGUAAACGAUGAGUGCUAGGUGUUGGGGGUCAAACCUCGGUGCCGCAGCUAACGCAUUAAGCACUCCGCCUGGGGAGUACGUACGCAAGUAUGAAACUCAAAGGAAUUGACGGGGACCCGCACAAGCAGCGGAGCAUGUGGUUUAAUUCGAAGCAACGCGAAGAACCUUACCAGGGCUUGACAUGCCCCUGCUCGUCCUAGAGAUAGGACUUUACCUUCGGGUACAGGGGACACAGGUGGUGCAUGGUUGUCGUCAGCUCGUGUCGUGAGAUGUUGGGUUAAGUCCCGCAACGAGCGCAACCCUUGCCUUUAGUUGCUAACAUUAAGUUGAGAACUCUAGAGGGACUGCCGAUGAUAAAUCGGAGGAAGAUGGGGAUGACGUCAAAUCAUCAUGCCCUUUAUGUCCUGGGCUACACACGUGCUACAAUGGUCGGUACAACGAGAAGCUACACAGCGAUGUGAUGCAAAUCUCUAAAAGCCGAUCCCAGUUCGGAUUGCAGGCUGCAACUCGCCUGCAUGAAGUCGGAGUUGCUAGUAAUCGCGAAUCAGAAUGUCGCGGUGAAUGCGUUCCCGGGUCUUGUACACACCGCCCGUCACACCAUGGGAGUUGGCAAUACCCGAAGCCAGUAAGCUAACCAGUAAUGGAGGCAGCUGUCGAAGGUAGGGUCAAUGACUGGGGUGAAGUCGUAACAAGGUAGCCGUAUCGGAAGGUGCGGCUGGAUCACCUCCUUU
rnacentral:rRNA from 1 species